rnacentral:tRNA from 1 species
CAUUAGAUGGCUGAAAAAUUAAGUAUUGGUCUCUUAAAUCAAAUUAUAGUAUAAAAUACUUCUAAUG